UAGGGAAUCUUCCGCAAUGGACGCAAGUCUGACGGAGCAACGCCGCGUGAGUGAAGAAGGAUUUCGGUUCGUAAUACUCUGUUGUUAGAGAAGAACAGCGCAUAGAGUAACUGUUAUGCGUGUGACGGUAUCUAACCAGAAAGCCACGGCUAACUACGUGCCAGCAGCCGCGGUAAUACGUAGGUGGCAAGCGUUGUCCGGAUUUAUUGGGCGUAAAGCGAGCGCAGGCGGUCAAUUAAGUCUGAUGUGAAAGCCCCCGGCUCAACCGGGGAGGGUCAUUGGAAACUGGUUGACUUGAGUGCAGAAGUGGAGAGUGGAAUUCCAUGUGUAGCGGUGAAAUGCGUAGAUAUAUGGAGGAACACCAGUGGCGAAGGCGACUCUCUGGUCUGUAACUGACGCUGAGGCUCGAAAGCGUGGGUAGCAAACAGG
rnacentral:rRNA from 1 species